GAGUGGCGGACGGGUGAGUAAUGUCUGGGAAACUGCCUGAUGGAGGGGGAUAACUACUGGAAACGGUAGCUAAUACCGCAUAACGUCGCAAGACCAAAGAGGGGGACCUUCGGGCCUCUUGCCAUCGGAUGUGCCCAGAUGGGAUUAGCUAGUAGGUGGGGUAACGGCUCACCUAGGCGACGAUCCCUAGCUGGUCUGAGAGGAUGACCAGCCACACUGGAACUGAGACACGGUCCAGACUCCUACGGGAGGCAGCAGUGGGGAAUAUUGCACAAUGGGCGCAAGCCUGAUGCAGCCAUGCCGCGUGUAUGAAGAAGGCCUUCGGGUUGUAAAGUACUUUCAGCGGGGAGGAAGGGAGUAAAGUUAAUACCUUUGCUCAUUGACGUUACCCGCAGAAGAAGCACCGGCUAACUCCGUGCCAGCAGCCGCGGUAAUACGGAGGGUGCAAGCGUUAAUCGGAAUUACUGGGCGUAAAGCGCACGCAGGCGGUUUGUUAAGUCAGAUGU
rnacentral:rRNA from 1 species